rnacentral:lncRNA from 1 species
CAGGCUGCUGUUGCCGUGGGGCCCGCGUUGCUCCGCUGGAAGCCCUCCUGGGUGUGGUUGUGCGUCCUCGUGUUUGGAUCAGGCAGAAGCCGUGCAAUAACUCUGCUACCUGGCCUGCUGUGACGCUGCGCCGGUGAGGUCCAUUUAAACAUUCAUUCAUCGCCACGGCUCCCUGGACGACGCUGCUGUUUUGUGUGGCUCCAUUGUUUGGCUGCUGCUGAUUUUAGGCAGCUGUUUUGGUGUCAUUUAAAAAAAAAUAUUUUUGUUGUUUUCUUUUUUUGGGGGGUUUUCUGAAUUGAGGUUGGGUCCAGCAUCCCCCUCACAGAGCUGUCAUCAGAGCCCUAAUGCUGGGCUCUCUGGGGGCUGCUGCAUGGGUUUAUUGAUUUGAGGAAAAGCUUGAUUUAUUAAUUUGUUUAUUGUUAAGUGUAAAUUUGAGUUUCUUUGUAUUAUUUUUCAUAGUUUUUGUUUAAUUGUAUUUGAAGAUUUAAUUGGUUAUUUUGGGUUCCUUUUUUUAUAAUGCUUUAUUGUUGGUGUGUGUGUGUGUGUGUGUGUGUGUGUGUGUGUGUGUGUGUGUGUGUGUGAGAGAUACCAGCCAGACUGUGAGGCCAUUUUAAUUCUCCCUCUCUCCUUGUGGACAAGUGCUGGAGCUCAGAGCGGCGACCCAAUCCCUGGUGGCGGGUUCUUCACUUCUCAGUUGCGUGGGUGUGCAGUGUCACGGGUGCUGGAGCUCAGAGCGGCGACCCAAUCCCUGGUGGCGGGUUCACUUCUCAGUUGCGUGGGUGUGCAGUGUCACGGGUGAUAUUAUUAUUUUGGUUUGUUUCUCCCUCCUCUUUGGUUUCAGGCCGCCGUGGCAAGCCCAGCUCUGUCCAUCCCCUUUUUGUGGCCCAGUGAUUAAUGUGAGAUGGCUUGGUAAAUUUUGAAACUAAAAAAAACCCAUUGUACAAUAAAAGUAUUUCUAUAUUUUGAACACUGUCUCCUGCCCAGUGGUGAUUUACGAACCUGUGACCUUAUAGUCUCCUAGUAAAACAGUAACUACUUCCUGUGGCGAAAUUCCCCAGGUGGCGUUGUUCGGCAACACUCACCCCUAGCUUCCACCUCGCCACAUUAAGUUCAGUUCAAAGUUCAUAGAAAAAUAAACUUGUUCACUUAUUUUGAACUAGUUCAUGCACA